rnacentral:rRNA from 1 species
GAUGAACGCUAGCUACAGGCUUAACACAUGCAAGUCGAGGGGAAACGGCAUUGAGUGCUUGCACUCUUUGGACGUCGACCGGCGCACGGGUGAGUAACGCGUAUCCAACCUUCCCAUUACUGUGGGAUAACCUGCCGAAAGGCAGACUAAUACCGCAUAGUCUUCGAUGACGGCAUCAGAUUUGAAGUAAAGAUUUAUCGGUAAUGGAUGGGGAUGCGUCUGAUUAGCUUGUUGGCGGGGUAACGGCCCACCAAGGCUACGAUCAGUAGGGGUUCUGAGAGGAAGGUCCCCCACAUUGGAACUGAGACACGGUCCAAAAUCCUACGGGAGGCAGCAGUGAGGAAUAUUGGUCAAUGGACGGAAGUCUGAACCAGCCAAGUAGCGUGCAGGAUGACGGCCCUAUGGGUUGUAAACUGCUUUUGAAUGGGGAUAAAGUUAGGGACGUGUCCCUAUUUGCAGGUACCAUACGAAUAAGGACCGGCUAAUUCCGUG